CCCUCUUCUCUCUUGUCUCCCUCACACCAGCCACGAAGGUUUUCAAAGGAAAUAUGACUCGAAAAUACCUUAGAGUGCCAUGAAAGCUAAAGGACAAAGCUAAAAUCCACCUAAGAGCACACCAAACAGGAUCAACAAGAAUUGAAGAUGCCCGUCCUGUUUCAAAAGCAAGGGGAGGAGCCCAAGGCAGAUCUGUUAUCAUUUGUCUUUCCUCUUCAUUACAAGAAAAGAAAAAGAAAAGGAGAAAAGUUGGAAAGCGACUCAGUAAAAGAAAGAAAGGACUGACCACCCUUUCCGAUAGCAGGAACUGAAAGUUGUCUGUUACCUGUAACCCUUCGGUUUAUGGUAAGACAAUAACCCAGGCCCCGUGGCUUCUGCUUUACUGUGAUUGUUCCAUCUUUUCCCUUAGUGAAAAAUUCUCUUUGAGUAAGUUCUCUUCAAUGACUCAAGCCCUCUAGAUAUGGUAAUAGGUUCCUCCCCUAGGGAGAUUUUUGAAUACAAAAGCCAGAGUCUUCCUUCUUUGAGCCAAACUCCCCUCUAGAAAUGAGGCAGAACAUCACAGAAAGAAAGCUCCUGUGGCCUGCUGAGGAUGCGGGGCACAGCCCCACAGCUCCAAUCAGCCAGUGACCUUUCACAAGAAGACAAACACGCAGAGAAGCACCGCCACGUUGGUGCCAGCGUUACACAAGCACAGCAGGUGCAUCCACGCCCUUCUGGUGCCACAGCCUGAGGUGGACACACCCAGCCUCUCCCACUCACGGGGCCACCCGGGCUUGUCUGAAUUCAAAUCAGUAGAAGCUCAUUGCCAUGGGGAUAUAGGUGAGAUCUAGGUUUGAUGCCAAUCAACAUAUGCAUGAUUGCCCAACAAGGAAAAUAAAGAAGUAAAGCAAACAUAGG